rnacentral:other from 1 species
UGUAUCCUGCGAUGUUUGUUACGGCUUUCCGUUGUUUUGAACCAAUGGCUGUUUCACGGGAGUUCUAGAUUGAGACGCUGCUGUCAUGCCCCCGAAAAGGGACUUCAAAUAUGCGUUUUUGCGGACACCCACCUGCGAGAGCGGGUUCAGAAACAAUCAGGUCGGACGGCAUUCGCGGGUUCCCA